rnacentral:misc_RNA from 1 species
GAAAUGCGAUAAGUAGUGUGAAUUGCAGAAUUCAGUGAAUCAUCGAAUCUUUGAACGCACAUUGCGCCCCUUUGUAUUCCAUGGGGCAUGCCUGUUCGAGCGUCAUUUGUACCCUCAAGCUCUGCUUGGUGUUGGGUGUUUGUCCCGUCUCCGCGCGUGGACUCGCCCCAAAGUGAUUGGCAGCCGGCGUACUGGUCCCGGAGCGCAGCACAUGUCGCGCAAACGAGUGCCUUGGUACGGCGGCGUCCAUAAGCCCCUCUCUCACGCUCUUGACCUCGGAUCAGGUAGGGAUACCCGCUGAACUUAAGC